rnacentral:rRNA from 1 species
GACUACAAGGGUAUCUAAGCCUGUUUGCUCCCCACGCUUUCGCGCCUCAGCGUCAAUGUCGGUCCAGUUGGCCGCCUUCGCCACGGGUGUUCUUCCCAAUCUCUACGAAUUUCACCUCUACACUGGGAAUUCCACCAACCUCUCCCGAAUUCAAGCCAGUUAGUAUCAAGCGCAAUUCCCGGGUUGAGCCCAGGGCUUUCACACCUGACUUGACUGACCGCCUACGCGCCCUUUACGCCCAGUAAUUCCGAACAACGCUAGCUCCCUUCGUAUUACCGCGGCUGCUGGCACGAAGUUAGCCGGAGCUUAUUCUGUGGGUACCGUCAUCAUCGUCCCCACCAAAAGAGCUUUACAACCCGAAGGCCUUCAUCACUCACGCGGCAUGGCUGGAUCAGGGUUGCCCCCAUUGUCCAAUAUUCCCCACUGCAGCCCCCCGUAGG